AUACGGAGGAUCCGAGCGUUAUCCGGAUUUAUUGGGUUUAAAGGGAGCGUAGGUGGAUUGUUAAGUCAGUUGUGAAAGUUUGCGGCUCAACCGUAAAAUUGCAGUUGAAACUGGCAGUCUUGAGUACAGUAGAGGUGGGCGGAAUUCGUGGUGUAGCGGUGAAAUGCUUAGAUAUCACGAAGAACUCCGAUCGCGAAGGCAGCUCACCGGGCCGGAACUGACACUGAUGCUCGAAAGUGUGGGUAUCAAACAGGAUUAGAUACCCUGGUAGUCCGCACAGUAAACGAUGAAUACUCGCUGUUUGCGAUACACUGUAAGCGGCCAAGCGAAAGCGUUAAGUAUUCCACCUGGGGAGUACGCCGGCAACGGUGAAACUCAAAGGAAUUGACGGGG
rnacentral:rRNA from 1 species